UGGGGCGCGAUUCACAUCUCAACCGAAAUAUUUGUAAAGCGAUACGAACGAGUUACGAGAUGAAAUCCGCAAUGUUCAAAAACGCGAUUCAUAACACACAUACUUUGAUCUCGUUUUCAUAUCGCUAGUUCGUAUUGGGAUGGCUUGAGUGAAAUGAAUGAAACUAUAUUUUUUUAAUUGCCAUGCAAAAAUUAUAAAUACUACCACUAAUUGUUUUAAAUAAUUUUGUUCCUACAAUAUAUUUUGUUGGAAUUAGUGUCGAUAGCAAGUAUCAAGAAACGGCUUUUUAAUUCAACGUUGAAGAAAUUCAUAACCUGUGGCACUUUUGACAGCCGCCAUGUUUUCUACAUAAAAACAUUGAUUUUCUUUGCUCAUUUUCGUAUCAACGUAGUUUUUUUGGAAAAUAAGAAGAAAGGAAGUUUAACUAACUUAGAGAAAUACGACUGAGACAUGUAAGUAUCAAUGUAUUAACCUAUUUUUUUGGAAAUAUAACCGGUUGUAGUCAAGAAGGUAUUGUAAUUUACAAUGUAUCCAAUUUCUGUUUGAAUUGUUUUAGAAUCAUGAACGAGAUGAACCCAAGCAGCAGCCGAUGUGCUUGAGUUGCAGAUGGAGCAAGUGCGUUAUGAGAGGGCCACGGCUUCAGCCCUCACAAUGAAUAGCUGAAGCAAUGAACAGACAGGCUGCAGUCAAUGAGAGGCUUCUUGAGCAGGGGCUCCUCAUAUGGAAAAAGGCUAAUGAAAGGAACAAUCAAGACUGGCGGUGCGCGGGAGGAUCCCGUCCCUGCGCCUGGCCUUCAAUGGCCUCACGCCUCUCUUCUUCCUCUUCUUCAUGCGUCAAUUCAAACAGAGGAGCACCUGUGAUUACUGAUUACCUAAGUUCCUAUAUACAAUAAUAGUUUAAUAAUUGUUAACAAAAUAUUGUAUUAUAUAAGUAUUAAUAACUAUACACAAGGCUAAAAGCAUUUUGUAACAGUCAACCUAUAAGAGAGAAUAUGAGAAAAAAUAAGACAAUUUAAUCUUUGAUUGCCAUUAUCUGUAGCUUUAUUAAGUGGUAAAGGGACCUAAUAUAUGUAUUUGUGAUAAUUCAUAGAAUUUAUUAGUUCUAUCAAUAAAUAAAAUAGACAUGCA